rnacentral:rRNA from 1 species
UACGUAGGGUGCAAGCGUUAAUCGGAAUUACUGGGCGUAAAGCGUGCGCAGGCGGUUUUGUAAGUCUGUCGUGAAAUCCCCGGGCUUAACCUGGGAAUUGCGAUGGAGACUGCAAGGCUAGAAUCUGGUAGAGGGGGGUAGAAUUCCACGUGUAGCAGUGAAAUGCGUAGAGAUGUGGAGGAACACCGAUGGCGAAGGCAGCCCCCUGGGUCAAGAUUGACGCUCAUGCACGAAAGCGUGGGGAGCAAACAGG